CAGUGUGUUUCUGAUUGGGAUGAUCGUGAAAAUAAGUUUAUUGAAGUUGAUGGAAUUCUGAGAAGACAGAUAAAGAUGUCUCUUAUUCCUAGUGUGCAACCUUUCCAUGCAAUAGCCUAUUCAAUUGAUCCAAUGCUUGCACUGGAGAUAAGUCGUAAAUAUGUUGCACACUGCUCUGUCAUUGCAUCUCGUUAUUCUCUUCCUUCGUUCAAUUAUCCAGCAGCCUUGCCCAUAAAGAGCGAAGGUGGAAGUAAAAGGCUAAGGGUCGGGUAAGUU